CCGGCCCCCCCCCGGGCUGAAGGACCCCCGGGCAGCCCACUGCUGCCUGACGUGCCACACCACCUACCGGGACUGCCUGGCGCUGGUCAUGCACCGGCUGAGACACGUCGAGGGAAAACACUGGCCCUGUCCGCUGUGCAGCAAGAACUUCUUCAGGCUGCGCAACGUGAGGAACCACAUCCGGACCCACGACCAGACGCUCUACAAGUGCCGCAGCUGUGUGGCGGGCUCCUGAGGGGAGGGUCCGCCGCGCUGGAGGGACGCAACGCUGGGACGUGAUUGGUCCGCUUGUAACACACACACACACACACACACACACACACACACACACACACACACACACACACACACACACACACACACACACACACACACACACACACACACACACACACACAGCACAACAGGUCGGAGGCAGGGGGCCGUCGUCAUGGCGGCGGGUCGCUCCUGGACAACAUGGCCGCCGCCGCGUGCUCCUCGCUGCACGGGUUCUCCUCUCACACACUCAGGCUCUUUGUUCUGUGAGGGGUUAUUGUCUCCGUGUACAUUUGAUAAAAACGCAUCACAAUUUGUAUAUAAACGGAAUGAAUAUUGAUUGUGAUGCUAAAUAUUACUACUAUGACUUAUUGCUAUGGCUAUUGUUAUUAUUAUUUUUCUAUGUAUAGAUGAAUCUCCAGUGCACUUAUAAUCAUGGCCCUGUGUUUCGUUAAACCUAAGAAACGUGAAUGAAGCGCAGAAUGUCGCCCCCUGCUGGGGAAUACUUGAAGUGCGGGCGGUCGAUGGUUAGCGGUAAAUCCUCCGUGUCUCUCCAGAGGCUCUGGUCGGGACUGGAGGUACAAGGGGCAUGGUCGCAUGAAGUCCACAGUCUUGACCAAAUGCUGCCGUUGGAAUGAAAAAAGGGAAAAGUGUAUUUUAAAUGUGAAUCACCACUUGUAGUCAGAAUCGCAGGUGUGUUUUAAUGAUUUAUUAAUCCAAAACAAGGUAUUCGUUUCUCUGGAUCCGGUUUCCCUCCUGCUGAAUAACUGCAAUGUGUGCACAAAGAGAGACAUUUAAAAUGUGUUUGAGAAAUUGAUUUUGGAAAUUGAGCGUUAUCAUAUGGCUUUUCUGUAAAAAGAUGAUAUUGAAUAAAAUUCUUCCUUUUAAAUAUCAUUGCUGGUGUCAUUCCCUUAAAUGUGAUCAUAAAUAUUGAAGUGGUUGUCUUCCUCAAGAUGGUGUCUUUAAUGCGUAAAAUUUGGUUGUGUUUGUAGUAGUAGUAAUCGUAGCAGUGGUGGGAGUAGUGUUGUUGUAGUAGUAAACGAGGAGUUACCUGUUUUCCCCACGAUGACGCAGCUGUGAACCUUCGCUUAUCUUCCUCUUCCUCAGUGUUGCCUGGUUGGCUCCCAUCAGGUCAUAUGGUUAUCCAACACCAUCGGCUCACAUGGUUCUCCUACAGUACCGCUAGAGG